CUCUGCUCUAUUGCAUUUUGUUUAUAGUAUGUAUAACAAGGAUCCAUUCAUGUGUCAGGCCUUUGCUUUUGGUUAUGUUAAGACAAUACCCUUUCUCUCUCUCUCUCUCUCUCCCCUCCCCAAUUGUUUACACACUCGAGUAGAGUUGUCCCAUAUUCUUGGGAUUCUCUUGCCACUUUCAUGUUAUGUAAUUUGCAUCAUGUUUGUUACAGUUUCAGACAUAGAACAACCAAUAUGAAGAAUAAACAAAGUAGUGCACAAGUAUACCCUUGUGCAACUUGCAGUAGAAUAAAGAAAAAUAAAUAAAUAAAUCUACAGCAGGGUAUUGACAAGUAUACACCCCUGCAAUAGCACAUAACAUUUCUCAACACUCCCCCUCAAGCUGGAGCCUAUAUAUAACCAAUGCCCAGCUUGGAACAUCCUUCAAGAAAAGUUAGCCGAACAAUACCUUGGUGAACAAAUUCCCCCAACUAAGUGUGCAGACCAGCAUUUUGCCUUAUUAGAAUGUAUAACCAUAUGAUGUUCGUCAAAAAAUCAAAUAAUGAAACUAAGGAGUGAUCAGGAUGGCAUUUGACCUGAAACAUGAUAAAUUUAUUCCUGAAUUCUUAAUGUAUUUGUUGUCACCAUCUUGUCUUGUUGACUCAGGCCCAAUAAGUAUUUGGUAAAUUGGCAUCUGGCUAUAGUGUCAAUAUAUUCACUACUUCCAUCCAGUACGUUCUGUUUUGUGGUACACUACUUUGUGUAUAGCCUGUGAUGGUAAAACAUCAUUGUAACAUGGAUGCUUCAGAUCCUGAGAUUUCUUGUCACCAAUUCCAUAUUAAGCAUUGAUUAAAGAAAGGCUUGUAAGAUAUGUAGCCAUUUGAAGUCUCCAGCAUAAGAUUUGGACAUGAAUGGUUCGGAAUGGCUCCUUAAAGAGUGCUUUUUUAGGAUUUUGAAAGUACAGCACCUACAAUAGCUCAUGGUACUUAGCUGAUGAUGGAUUUAUUUGGUUUGGCAGAUCAAUGAAGAGCUUGAAUUAUCAGGAAGUGAAUAAAAUGGUUGAGCAAGUAUGCAACCCCUGAUCACAUUAAUGUGAUGGGUUCGUCUCAUGCGGAGCUCUAACAAUGAGCUGCUGGUUAGUGUGCUGCCUGUUCCUUUGGAUCAUAGUUGAAAAACUUAUCACGAGUAAGAGUGGAAGCCUAUGACGAAUAUUUUGAUUGGGCAAGAGAACGCUACCCUGCUGGCUCAGGUACACACCAGCGCACAGGCCAAUGGUAGGGUGCGUGGGAGCAUCUUCAGCGUGGAGGCAGCACAGUCUUUCUGCUCCUGCUUUGUCUAGGCAUAGACACAGCAAGCGGGUAGCGUUCUUUCUUCAAUUUUUAUUUAAUUCUGUUAGAAAAUUGAGGGGAGAGGUUGUGUUGAUGCUUACAAGGGCUGAGAUCCCCGAACAAGGGAUUUAAGGAAGAAUUGAUGCAGUAUUUGGGCACUAGCAGCAGUGCGAAGAGAAGAACUUGUGGUUUCAAAAAUUUCAGAAUUCAUAGUGUCUCUAGAAAUCCUAGUCUCACUGGGAAUACUAGUCCUACUCUACUUUGGAGUUCUAUUUAAGUAGAUUUCUUUUUUCAAUUCGUUUCCUAGUUUAGUCUGGAUUAGGAAUCUAUAAGUUUAAUCAUAUCAUGAGUUCAUUUUCUUUCAUUAUGUCAAGUCCUAGUUGGUUUAGGACUCCAACUCAAUUGGAGGUUCUUGAGUCAGUUUAGGAGUUGUUUCAAGUCUUUUAUUGGUCAAUUAAGUCGUCAGUUUUAUUACAAGCUAUUUCUAGUCAUGUUGUGAGUCAUAUUUGGAGAGUCUGUAUAUACUUUUGUAACCAGGCAAGGCAUUAAUGCAUAUGAAUUUUAUGGUGAAUAAAGCUUGGCUCUGCUCUUAUGUUCUGA